GCUGAAGUCAUUGACGUUAUAUGGGGCGUUGUUGUUCUUACCGCGCCUGGAAUCUACCUGUCUCCUGGGCCUGAGUAAAGCAUUCAUGGAACCAGUUGAUAUUGACAAGGCAUUUGAUAGCAUUGUUUUUGCUGAACAGACUGAACUAGACCAAGGGUACAAGGAGGGCCACGAGGCAGGCUGCACCGAGGCACGUGCCGUGGGCCGGGGCCUUGGCUUCCAGCGGGCAGCGCAGCUGGCGUCCGAGGUCGGCUUCUACGGCGGAUUCGCGCAGCAGGCGCUGGCGCAGC